GAAAAGGGUGGUAAUGCCGGAUGCUCCGACUCCUCGCAUGGGGUGUCGGGAAAGAUUUCAUCGGUAUGGGAUGGGGUCGCGUCCUAUCAGGUAGUCGGCGGGGUAACGGCCCACCGAGCCUACGACGGGUAGCCGGCCUGAGAGGGCGACCGGCCACAUUGGGACUGAGAUACGGCCCAGACUCCUACGGGAGGCAGCAGUGGGGAAUAUUGCACAAUGGGCGCAAGCCUGAUGCAGCGACGCCGCGUGCGGGAUGACGGCCUUCGGGUUGUAAACCGCUUUUGAUCGGGAGCAAGCCUUCGGGUGAGUGUACCUUUCGAAUAAGCACCGGCUAACUACGUGCCAGCAGCCGCGGUAAUACGUAGGGUGCAAGCGUUAUCCGGAAUUAUUGGGCGUAAAGGGCUCGUAGGCGGUUCGUCGCGUCCGGUGUGAAAGUCCAUCGCUUAACGGUGGAUCUGCGCCGGGUACGGGCGGGCUGGAGUGCGGUAGGGGAGACUGGAAUUCCCGGUGUAACGGUGGAAUGUGUAGAUAU
rnacentral:rRNA from 1 species